rnacentral:rRNA from 1 species
AUUGAACGCUGGCGGCAGGCUUAACACAUGCAAGUCGAGCGGGGGGAGGUAGCUUGCUACCGGACCUAGCGGCGGACGGGUGAGUAAUGCUUAGGAAUCUGCCUAUUAGUGGGGGACAACAUCUCGAAAGGGAUGCUAAUACCGCAUACGUCCUACGGGAGAAAGCAGGGGAUCUUCGGACCUUGCGCUAAUAGAUGAGCCUAAGUCGGAUUAGCUAGUUGGUGGGGUAAAGGCCUACCAAGGCGACGAUCUGUAGCGGGUCAGAGAGGAUGAUCCGCCACGCUGGGACUGGGACACGGCCCAGACUCCGACGGGAGGUAGCAGUGGGGAAUAUUGGACAAUGGGGGGAACCCUGAUCCAGCCAUGCCGCGUGUGUGAAGAAGGCCUUAUGGUUGUAAAGCACUUUAAGCGAGGAGGAGGCUACUUUAGUUAAUACCUAGAGAUUGUGGACGUUACUCGCAGAAUAAGCACCGGCUAACUCUGUGCCAGCCGCCGCGGUAA